UACGAAGGGGGCUAGCGUUGUUCGGAUUUACUGGGCGUAAAGGGCGCGUAGGCGGAUUUUUAAGUCAGGGGUGAAAUCCCACGGCUCAACCGUGGAACUGCUGGGUAUACUGGUUGUCUUGAGCCAGCUAGGGGCGAGCGGAACAGACGGUGGAGCGGUGAAAUGCGUAGAUAUCGUCUGGAACGCCGAAGGUGAAAACAGCUCGCUGGGGCUGCGCUGACGCUGAGACACGAAAGCCAGGGGAGCGAACGGG
rnacentral:rRNA from 1 species